rfam:Camelus ferus unplaced genomic scaffold scaffold256, whole genome shotgun sequence.
GAAGGUAUAGCUCAGUGGUAGAGUGCAUGUAUAGCAUGCACGAGGUCCUGGGUUCAAUCCCCAGUACCUCCA